CAGACCUCUUGAUUCAUCUUCAAGACAUCGAAGGGACAUAAAAGAGCUGAUAUUGAAGUUUUUAUCAGCUUACCAUGGUCUUCCAAUCCCGAUGCGGAGAUUCUCAUCCUGAUUCCUCGAUUCAGUGCCAAUGAGAUUCUCAUCCCAUUGCGGAGAUUCUCCAUUUCCAAAUCAUAGCUGUUAUGAGAUGCACCUGAGCUUGAUCAAGAAUAUGCGCAAGAGUCGAAGAAUGGCCUCAGAAGAUUCUUGCCCAAGAAUGGCCUAGAAGAUUAGUGCAAGUGGGAAGAAAGUGGCAAAGGAAAGGAGUAUCGGUCUGUGGGCUAAGGAUAACCCCAUCGCCCAUUCCACCAUGGGAGUGGCGGAGACAAAAGAGGAUUUGUUACUGACAUGGAAGAACGCAGCUGCAAAGAUAUUUCUUGAUUCACUGGAUGCCCAGUGUCUUGAUUCAUUACCUUUUAGCUUUAAGGGCAUUUUCCCCAGCAUUUUGAUGAAAUUUACUUAAUACUUUGCACUGAAUAGGAAAGCUGUCGAUACAGAAUUUCGACUAUUCUUAAGUGUGGCGUUACUUCAGUUUCCCCUUGCUUUAUCUUUUUGUGUUCCAACAGAACUGGUUUAUAUUGUUUUUCGAAGACUGAAACAGAAAGUGCCGCUUUUGACUACAUGAGAGAAAACGGGUUUGUAGUAGUGGCAGCCUGUCCCGGCCUUACAGUAGGGCAUGUUCUGCCGCCGACAUUGAAUGCGAAGUUCGUCAAAGGUACAUAUAUCAGCUCAUAGAAAUGGUUAUGCAUGUAUUGAUGAGAUGAAAAGUUAUCGAAAUUCUUUCAGUUUCUUAUACAUUGUGAUUAAGGCAUGAUUAUUGGGGGAGAUCCCCUGAUACAAGCACUUCUUUAGAUUAUAAAUGCUCCACCUUUUACUAUAUAUCCUUCAUUGUAAUCCUGUCUUGGGUCACCUGCGCAAUUUAAUCUAUGUAAGCAUUGAAACUGACAUAUCAAUCCGGGUUCUUUUUCCCUUGCAAAGUAUCUAUAUGAGAGGGAUGGUGGUUUGGCUCAGUAAUGGACUGGUAAAUUACGGUGUAAGUUAGGCAUUGAGGAAUCAGUUCUCAACAAGCUCUGUUACACAAGUCGAUAUGCGAGAUGUUGCUGAGGCUGUAAUUUUAGCAUGUGAAAAAUCCAAGGCAGAGAAGCUCCGUAAUAUGCAUUGCGCAUUCUAUCACGAUGCGAGAUUUGGCGGAAAAGCUCCAUAAUAGAGACCACGGAGACCGUAGUAUCUAUCCUGAUUUCACAUUACUCGAAAAGCUUGUUUUCUUUUGGCACAACAAAUAAGUAAUUCGUUCAUCUGGCCUAUAGGUUCUCCGAGUCUGCUUCAUUGGAGAGUAUGAUUUUGGGCUAAAACAAUUUUUGUGAAAGCUGAGCUCCAAGAGGCUGAAGAAGCUGGGGUGGACUUACCAGCCACUCGAGGAUACACUCAUGGGCUCGAUCGAGAGCUCUACCAAUAGGCAGGGCUGCUGUUGUCAUGCAUAGCAAAGAAAAGCUGUUGUCCCUUCAUUUCUAAUGACCAUGAAAUAGUUCCAGAAGAGCAGAACGUGCAUGGUACUUCCACCGUUCUGGUCGGUGUUAUUGUUCUCAUGCUGUAGCAAGCACCAUUUUACGAUAUAUAUAGUUGAAAGAUGAACUAGUGGGUGGGUUUCAUUAGCAUUAAUUAUUCUGAUUUUUUAUUUGAAAAACUAAGAACUAGGUGGUGGAAUCUUGGGGAUGCCGCAUACGAUUUGAUUUUGUAUG